CUCUCACCUCUCUGGCUCUCAUUCACUCACACUCACCCCACGAACAAAAAAGUAUCCAGAAGAAUCCAGAUAGAUCUGUUUCCACGAGCUGAAAAUCGAAGAUCCAUUCCAAGUUAUCAAAUAAUCGAAGAUCCGGUCCAUCGAUUUGUUUUAUCUUCCAAAUCCAGAUUUGUUCAAGCCGAUUGUAAUGUGUGUUCGAGUGAGAUUGCUACCGAUUUCCAUUCAGAUUUGUUCACAAGUUGAUGAUGACGGAUGGACAAUUGAGAAUGGCCUUUGUUUGUUUAAGG